AUCAGAUGUCACAUCUCCAGCCUCAGGAUGAUGAACACACUCACUCUUCUGCUGGUUGCUCUCUCUCUGCCCUGUUGUACAGGUCAGAGUAUGGAGUCCAUUCCUUCCAGUUCAGUAGUGAAAAAGCCUGGGGAGACUCUCAGUCUCUCCUGCAGGGGAUCUGGCUUCACAUUUAGCUGCUGCAGCAUGUACUGGAUCAGACAACCUGCAGGAGAAGCACUGGAAUGGAUAGGCCGUAUUUACAGUGAUGCUAGUAGAACAGAUUAUGCCAGCAGUGUGCAAGGACGAGUAGAGGUCACCAGAGAUAACAGCAACAGCAUGGUGUAUCUGAGACUGUCCAACUUAAAGCCAGAGGACUCUGCUGUGUAUUACUGUGCGAAACACACACUGGUUAAAGGAAGCAGAGAGGCUUGA